rnacentral:rRNA from 1 species
UACAGAGGGUGCAAGCGUUAAUCGGAAUUACUGGGCGUAAAGCGUGCGUAGACGGUAGCGUAAGUCGGGUGUGAAAGCCCCGGGCUCAACCUGGGAAUUGCGUUCGAGACUGCUCUGCUAGGGUGCGGAAGAGGGGAGCGGAAUUUCCGGUGUAGCGGUGAAAUGCGUAGAUAUCGGAAGGAACACCAGUGGCGAAAGCGGCUCCCUGGUCCAGCACCGACGUUCAGGCACGAAAGCGUGGGGAGCAAACAGG